rnacentral:rRNA from 1 species
UACGGGGGGGAGCAAGCGUUGUUCGGAUUUACUGGGCGUAAAGGGCGUGCAGGCGGUUUGUUAAGUGCAGGGUGAAAGCUCCCGGCUCAACUGGGAGAGGUCCUUGCAUACUGGCGAACUCGAGGGAGGCAGAGGAAAGUGGAAUUCCCGGUGUAGUGGUGAUAUGCGUAGAUAUCGGGAGGAACACCAGUGGCGAAGGCGACUUCCUGGCCUGUUCUUGACGCUGAGGCGCGAAAGCUAGGGGAGCAAACGGG